rnacentral:rRNA from 3 species
AAAUUGAAGAGUUUGAUCAUGGCUCAGAUUGAACGCUGGCGGCAGGCCUAACACAUGCAAGUCGAACGGUAACAGGAAGCAGCUUGCUGCUUUGCUGACGAGUGGCGGACGGGUGAGUAAUGUCUGGGAAACUGCCUGAUGGAGGGGGAUAACUACUGGAAACGGUGGCUAAUACCGCAUAACGUCGCAAGACCAAAGAGGGGGACCUUCGGGCCUCUUGCCAUCAGAUGUGCCCAGAUGGGAUUAGCUUGUUGGUGA